rnacentral:rRNA from 1 species
GCAAGUCGAACGAUGAAGCCCAGCUUGCUGGGUGGAUUAGUGGCGAACGGGUGAGUAACACGUGAGUAACCUGCCCUUAACUCUGGGAUAAGCCUGGGAAACUGGGUCUAAUACCGGAUAGGAGCGCCGACCGCAUGGUGGGUGUUGGAAAGAUUUAUCGGUUUUGGAUGGACUCGCGGCCUAUCAGCUUGUUGGUGAGGUAAUGGCUCACCAAGGCGACGACGGGUAGCCGGCCUGAGAGGGUGACCGGCCACACUGGGACUGAGACACGGCCCAGACUCCUACGGGAGGCAGCAGUGGGGAAUAUUGCACAAUGGGCGCAAGCCUGAUGCAGCGACGCCGCGUGAGGGAUGACGGCCUUCGGGUUGUAAACCUCUUUCAGUAGGGAAGAAGCGAAAGUGACGGUACCUGCAGAAGAAGCACCGGCUAACUACGUGCCAGCACCGNCGG